ensembl:lncRNA
UUAUUGAUUUACAUUUUAAAAGAUGUCACACAUACACAUGUAUGCUAGCAGGAUCCUUGUCUGUGAUAUCUGAAACCUUUUCAGACUAAAUAUUAAAAGUACUUCCAGUUCUAUAAUUCUUUUUUUAAGUUCAGACUUUAAAUAAGGCUUUUGUUUCUUCCACUGCUCCCUUGUGCUGGCAUAGCACAGUAACUUUGCUGAUCCUUCUCACAGAUGGAAGUUCAUGACUACAUUGCUUGGUUACCAGAUUUCCCUCUUGCUCUUUAUUGUGUCUCUCUAUCCUCAGCACUGACAUAUUUGCAUUUUCAGUAGUCAGGUGAACAGGGUAAUUUGAAUAACUGCUAUAGAAGUAAAGACUCAAGGGGUUUGAUUUAAUUUUGUUUAAAUGUUAGUAUAUGAAAUGUAAUCUGAUAGGGAGUAGUAGAACCACUGUGCAGACGACAAGUGUUAGGCAGAUCUUAUUACCUGGAAUAAUUGAAAACUGUCUGCUUUCUAUAAUUUUACUUGGCCUUCCUCAUCUAAGAGUUAAAAAAAAUUAUGUGCUGCUCUUGAUUAAUUAAAAAAAGGACCAUAAAUUAAGUUCUAGUUCAAUUUCCACAAGAAAUAGUGAAGGCAGGUAUACCAGCCAAUGCUCAAAGGAGAUGGGUGUGUGGACAAACAGUAGCCAAAGUGUGCAUGUCAGAAUAAUUUGGAUUGGAUUAGUCAUGUUCUAAAGAAUAAAUAGUUAAAAAAGAGCAAUUUAUUCAUCUCAGUUCUCAUUAACUAACUUGGGAUCCAUGUUUUGUCAUCCAGAAGAUUCUAAGUUCAGUGUCCCAUUUGUGUCAUUUGCUUUAGACGUGAAUAACCUCAGGACUCUGCUUUGUAUAUUUUAGUCUCUCCUGUUGAUCUUCUAAGUGAAUGUUUUACUGCCAGAAGGAAUUCCUGAAAGUGAAAAAGGAAAAGAAAACCAGGAAUUACCAAUAUUCUGUUUUAUACAAAUCUAAUUACAUUUGCUGCUGCUUGAACACAUUCAUGGGUGAAUUUCAGGCAAGCCAAGAACACAAGGACAAAGUGGAAGAAUAAGCAAGUGGAAAAGAGAGGCAAAAUAAGUUUUAUAGCAACAAUACCAGCUUUGCCUUCCAGUAAUAUCUAGGGCUCAAGCAAGCUCAAUUGAAGCAGCAACUAUAUGUGAGUCCUUUUUUCGUCUAGUUUUUGUUAGAUUUUUGAUGAUACAAGCUCAACAAUGUAAUGGAAGAUCCUUGUAUUCUCAAGAUUCUCAUCCCCUCUCCUUAGACACCAGUUGCUGGUGCCAGCAGGAUUCCUGUAGGCAAAUAAUAUGGUCAGAGAAUAGAGCUGGCUUUAAGUAAAGAUAUGGACUUGCACCUGCAGAACAAUAGACAUUCAAAUGAAAAGACUUAGUGCCAAGUUUUCCUUGAUUUUUAAACUUGGCCUUACUAAACUAAUGGAAGUGAUGAAUUAUGUACAGGUGUACUGACUCCCUUUAGAAAAGAGAGCAUGUACCUUCCAUACUGAUUUUGAAUCCUCAUCUUUAAAUAGAAAUGCUAUCGAUGGAGGGAAAAGCUGCUGUCAGAUUGCUAUGUUCUGUCUAUAAUCUAUUUGCUGUAAAAUGGAAAAUGACCCAGGGAAAUAAAUGUGUUAUGCAAGUCUGGGUAAGAAACCUC